rnacentral:rRNA from 1 species
AUAUGGCUCAGAACGAACGCUGGCGGCGUGCUUAACACAUGCAAGUCGAGUGCGCGUCUGUAGCAAUACAGAUGGCGCACGGCGCACGGGUGCGUAACACGUGGGUAACCUGCCCUUUAGUGGGGAAUAACCUCGCGAAAGCGAGGCUAAUUCCGCAUAAGAUCCGCAAGGAUGAAAGCCGUAAGGCGCUGAUGGAGGGGCCCGCGCACGAUUAGCUAGUUGGUAGGGUAACGGCCUACCAAGGCUAUGAUCGUUAGCUGGUCUGAGAGGAUGGCCAGCCACACUGGAACUGAGACACGGUCCAGACUCCUACGGGAGGCAGCAGUGGGGAAUAUUGGACAAUGGGCGCAAGCCUGAUCCAGCCAUGCCGCGUGGGUGAUGAAGGCCCUAGGGUUGUAAAGCCCUUCGGCGGGGAAGAUAAUUACGGUACCCGCAAAAGAAGCCCCGGCUAAUUACAGUC